GACGAACCGUGCAAACGUUACUCGGAAUCAUUGGGCUUAAAGCGCACGUAGGCGGCGAUGUAAGUUAAGGGUGAAAUCCCAUCGGCUCAACCGUGGAACUGCCUUUAAUACUGCAUUGCUUGAGGGAGACAGGGGCAAGUGGAACCACCAGUGGAGCGGUGAAAUGUGUUGAUAUUGGUGGGAACGCCGGUGGCGAAAGCGGCUUGCUGGUUCUUUUCUGACGCUGAGGUGCGAAAGCUAGGGGAGCGAACGGG
rnacentral:rRNA from 1 species